UACGAAGGGGCUAGCGUUGUUCGGAAUUACUGGGCGUAAAGCGUAUGCAGGCGGAUCGUUAAGUCGGGGGUGAAAUCCCGAGGCUCAACCUCGGAACUGCCUCGAUACUGGCGAUCGUUGAGUCCGGGAGAGGUGAGUGGAACUCCGAGUGUAAGAGGUGAAAUUCGUAGAUAUUCGGAAGAACAGCCAGUGGCGAAGGCGGCUCCUGGCCGGUACUGACGCUGAGAAUACGA
rnacentral:rRNA from 1 species